CAGUCACGUGUCAAUCCUUUCUCUGCGCGCUCUACUUAAUAUGCAGCAGUUAUUGUCAGGACGCAAGACAAGUCAACCGACAGAACCCUUCCGACCCUUCAAUUAAGCAAAUCCCCCUCUUUUUUCCCACUUUGUGUCAGAACUGCGAGGCUGCACUGAAGACUAAAUCAAAUACAGACGCCAAAAUAAAACUUUCUUUUUCUUUAGUAUGAUGAUAAAACACGGCAAAACCUUAAUCAAUAAUGAUUUCAAGUAAAGCAAAAAUGCACAACUCCAGAAGCUUUUUGUUUUUUCCAUCCUAUAUUCCAAGGACAUUCAAUUACAAAAUUAAGUUUAUUUUAAGUUUAAAAAGUACACACACCAAGUUGGCCUAAAGUCUUGCUGAAUYCCAGAGGGAGCGCUCUGACCGCGGCCACAGGAGCGAUUUAGAAAUUAAUUUAGAUUCUCAGCGAGAGGAAUAAUCUCCACCAAGUCAUUCAAUCAGAUAAUUAUAUUUUGUUUCCGCCUCUUUUUUUUUUUUUGACAGACAUGCGUAAUGGGCACUAAAUAUGCAACUGCGAGAAAAAAAAAAACACUGAUGCAUCUAUUCUGAAGUAAAUCGUCCCGUACUUUUCAGAUCUUGUGACGCUGAGGCGAUUGCCAACAUGAAGAUCCCAACCAGACACUGCCGGAGUGAGCCACCGUGUCUCAUAAGCUCAGUGUGUGUGUAUGUGUGCAGGCCCUGAGUGAACGAUGAACAGUAAAAGCUGGAAACAUAUGGGCAGCAGGACUAUGAAAUGUAUCCAGAAAGAUCAUCACCUAUUCCCAGCGUCUACACGGUGCGCUCCUUCGUUAGCAUCAGCAGCAUGUAAUGUGAUUCCUUGAUGUACAAAUGUUCUUUUGAAUCUACAGCAUUUUCAUUGCGUGUUUAGGCAAAUGAUGUGUCAUUUAACUGUGUAAUGAUUUUAGUUAA